AUACGGAGGAUCCGAGCGUUAUCCGGAUUUAUUGGGCGUAAAGGAUGCGUAGGUGGAUAUUUAAGUGGGAUGUGAAAUACCCGGGCUCAACUUGGGUGCUGCAUUCCAAACUGGAUAUCUAGAGUGCAGGAGAGGUAAGUGGAAUUCCUAGUGUAGCGGUGAAAUGCGUAGAGAUUAGGAAGAACACCAGUGGUGAAGGCGACUUACUGGACUGUAACUGACACUGAGGCAUGAAAGCGGGGGGAGCAAACAGGAUUAGAUACCCUGGUAGUCCACGCCGUAAACGAGGGGUACUAGGUGUAGGAGGGUCCAACCUUCUGUGCCGCCGUUAACACAAUAAGUACCCCGCCUGGGGAGUACGGUCGCAAGAUUAA
rnacentral:rRNA from 1 species